rnacentral:misc_RNA from 1 species
AAUUAACGUUUUACAUAUCUACAUUACUCAUCUGAGUCGAAAGUUCCAAUUCGUUAAAAUUAGAAAUGAAAGUGGGUUUUAUUGGUGCCGGUCGAAUGACCUAUGCCUUAUGCAAGGGGUUUUUAAAGUCUUGUAAGUAUCUCUAUGGAGUAUUACUGUAUUAAUCAUUCGAAUUAUUAAAAUAUCCAAAUAAAGCGUUUGCUAUUUUUGUUAAAUUGAUAAAAAACUGUUUAUGAGACUUUUGUUUUUUUGCAUCGUCUUCUUUCAUACAAUCAUCUAUCCAAAAGACUAAUAGAUAAGAGUACCAUAUAGUUAGAGCGUUAACAUUAUAAUAAGCUCAUUAUUACGUUAUUGUAAAAUAUUAUACAAGAUAUUGCAUCUUAAAAUUAUUGCGUUGUCAUUGAAAAGUAUAGUUGCCACAUGGCUUUCUUUCAAUGAAUGUUUCACUUCUUUUUCCCGCCAACAUUUAAAAAUAGAAUUUUAAUUUGUACUAGUAUAUUACAGUAUUAAUUAUAUAUAAACAUGUUUCAUUUUAUUGUUAGCACUUGUAAAACCAUCAGAAAUAACUGCUAGUGACCUCAAUAGAUCAAAGUUGAGAGAAAUAAAGGUAUAGUAAUUGAAAAUGCUUUUAAUUAAUUAAAAUAAAUAAAUUUAAUUAGAGCUUUCGUAUACAAUGUGCAAAAACAUUGCGAUCGCACUAGAAAUUUGUAUAUAAUCUUUUCUUACGCGAUUUUAUUCAGAUUUGUUGAUUAUUAUAUAUCAGUACUAAUGAAGAUGAAUAUAGUAAUGUGCAUAAAAUGUGCCUAAAAUGCUCAGAUGUUUUAAAAUUUUAGAUCGAAGAUUCUUCUUAUAUUAAAAAUAUGGCAGCACGUAUUUCUCUUCCUGAAAAUACAUAUUGUAACUGUUAAACAUAGGAUAAUCAGACCUAUUUCUAGAACAUCUCGAUAAAUAUGAGUCAUUUUGCAACAUUUUGUCAAAAUAGUCACCAUGUGUUGAUUAGGCUAGCGGAACAAAAUUGACAUUAGAAGAGAGAACAGAAAUUCUCGUCUUAUCAGAAGAAGGCAAUUCUGCAAGAGAUAUUGCUAAAAAAAUGAAGAGGCAUAACUCAACAAUCUCUUGACUCCUCAGCAAUCCAGAAGGUUAUGGCCUAAAGAUGAAGAAUAGAUCAGAAAGAAAACUCACAGUGGAACUAUUAGGAAGAAGAUAGAAAGCACUACCAGUAAUAAGUAGAUUUCGGCUAAAAGAAUAAAACACCAGUUGGUUCUGCUUGGCAUUAACCAAAAAAUUCGAUGUUUUAAAUGAACAUAACCCAAAAUAUCGAAAAAUAUUAAAAAGGCCAAAACUUUUGAUGAUAUGGGGAGGAGUUGUUACCUAUGAAUGGAAGACUUCUUCCUAUGCAUUUAUUGGGCUGAGUAUGUAGUCUGCUGCAGGAUAUAGCCCUUAUACAUAGGGUUCUUAAAACAAAAAUCUUUUUGAUAGAAGAUAUUAAAAAAAUGAACUGCCAUAAAAUUCUUCAGAUUUCAACAUUAUUGAAAACAUCUGGGGAAUGAUGGCCAAAAGAGUAUAGGAAAAUUGGAAGUAGAGUUGAAAACAGCCAUCUCUGAGGCCUGAACUGAUUGUAUCAGCCUCCUAUUUAUUAAAAGCUGUAUUGAUUCCAUACCAGAUAGAUACAGACUGUAUUUGGCAAAUAAGGAAAAAAAUACAGAAUAUUAUGCAGAUUAAUAAGUAGAUUUUAAAGGAAGACAGAUAUUUGUCGUCACAUUUUAAAAGUAAUAUAUAUAAAAGAAAAUCUUUGAUUUAGAAGAGCAAGAAAUCUGAGCAUCUUGGAUAUAUUUUGCUCAAAUGACUAUACUCAUCAUUACUAAUAUAAUAUACUAUUUUUCCAACAGAUUUUAAGACAGUCGUACCAAAAAAAAAGAUUAUGUACAAAUUUUUAGUGCUACCACAAAUUGUUUUGCGCAGUGUUUGUACAUUAUACUGUAUAUUAGUACUAUUAUUACAAUUUAACACAGAGGGACCUUGGUAUCAAAACUGCUGAAAGUAAUGUAGAUAUCGUUGGUAAAAAUAAAGUGGUAUUUUUAGCUGUGAAACCGAAUAUAAUUAAAGACAUUUUAACUGAAAUUAACGAUAAAUCAAGUAUAGAAAAGGCAUUAUUCGUUUCUAUAGCAGCCGGUGUUACAACACAACGAAUAGAAAGUGUAUGAAUUAUUACUUAAUUAUUUAAUUAACAACUGGUUCUCUUUUUUUUUUGGUAAAAAAUUAGCUUCUUCCGGAAAAAGCAAGAGUAAUUAGAGUAAUGCCAAAUACUCCUUGUUUAGUUCAAUCGGGUGUUUGUGUUUUUACGAGAGGUAAGCAUGCUAAUGAAAGUGAUGCUGAUUUAGUUACGGAAAUGUUAAAUUGCGUGGGUCUCGUUGAAGAAAUGCCAGAAACUUUGAUGGAUACUGUUACCGGACUAAGCGGAAGUGGACCAGCUUAUGCCUUUGUAACAAUUGAAGCUUUGGCGGAUGGAGGAGUAAAAAUGGGUUUAAACAGAGAACAAGCCUUGAGGUUGUCUGCUCAAACUUUAAUGGGUGCGGCUAAAUUGGUCUUGGAGAGUGGUAAACAUCCGGAAGUUCUUAAGGACGAUGUCUGCUCACCAGGAGGUACGUCUAUUCACGCUCUCCACCAAUUGGAAAAAGGACAAUAUAGAGCAACUUUAAUGAAUGCUGUUGAAGCUGGUACUUUACGCUCAAAGGAGUUGGGUGAACCAAUAUAAACUAAAAGAAACUAUAUAUUUUUUAUUAUUUACAAUUAACAAAUUUACAAAUGAAUUUCUCCCUUUCAACUAUAGUUGAUAUUGCACGAUUGUUUAACUUUUUUCUUAUAUGAAAACGAGACACAAUUGAUCUUUAACUAAAUAAAGUAUACAUUUUAUUUUUUUUACUGGAUGACUGAAUACGAAUUGUCCUUUAACCAAAUCGCUGACAAAAGUGAGAAACUCGUUCUGGACACUUUUUCGUUGACUACUACUCUUUAGUAAAUAAUUGUUAUUCCGACGGAUUGCUUAUCAAUAGUAUUUUCACUUUUAUCAAUAACUAAUUAGCUUUUUCCUUACUAUCACCCUCUCAAUAAUUUCAUAUUAAUAAAGUAAAGGAAAAAACACAACUGGUU